CAAGGUGGUGGUGGGGCUUCUUCGCACAAGUGUGGGGGGGGGUCUUGCACAAGUGGGGGGGGGGCAAAGCUGGUGCCAGCAUCACACACACACACACACAUUGAUAUGGUGGUGCUAGGGGGGGUUUGCACGAGGAGCCAUUUAAACAAAGGGGGGUUCUUUUGCACGAGGAUGGUUUGCACGAGGAUGAUUUGCACGAGGGUUGUUUGUAUAAGGAGCCCUUUGCACGAGGAUGUCUUGCACAAGGAUCCAUUUGCACUAGGAUCUCUUGCACAAGGAGCCCCUUGCACGUGGAUCUCUUACACUAGGAACCCUUAACACAAGAAAUUAUUUGCACAAGGAUCUCUUGUACCAGGAGCCCUUUGCACAAGGAUCUCUUGCACAAGGAUCCAUUUGCAGUAGGAUCUCUUGCACCAGGAGCCCUUUGCACAAGGCUUGCUUGCACAAGGAUCCAUUUGCACAUGGGCCUCUUGCACACGGAACCCUUAACACAAGGAUCUCUUUACACAAGGAACCCGUUGCACAAGGAUCUCUUGCACAAGGAUCCAUUUGCACAAGGUUUGCUUGCACAAGGAGCCCUUUGCACGUGGAUCUCUUGCACAAGGAGCCGCUUGCACGUGGAUCUCUUACACUAGGAACCCUUAACACAAGGAUCUCUUGCAAAAGAAAUUAUUUGCACGAGGAUCUCUUGCACCAGGAGCCCUUUGCACAAGGAUGUCUUGCACAAGGAUCCAUUUGCACAACGAUCUCUUGUACCAUGAGCUCUUUGCACGAGGAAUUGUUGCACAAGGAGCCAUUUGCACACGGAUCUCUUGCACAAGGAGCCCUUUGCACAAGUAUCUUUUGCACAAGUAGCCUUGCACACAUUGAUCUCUUGCACAAGGAGUCCACUGCAGUAGGGUGUCUUACACAAGGAUCUCUUACACAAGGAACCAUUAACACAAGAAUCACUUGCACAUGGAGCCCGACACAAGAGGAUCUCUUGCACAAGGAUCUCUUUGCACAAGGACCUCUUGCACAGGAACUCAAUUGCACAAGGAUCUUUUACACAAGGGCCCCUUUGCACAAGGAUCUCUCGCACAAUAACUCAUUUGCACAAGGAUCUCUCGCACAAUAUCUCACACAAGGAUCUCUCGCAAAAGGACCCCUUUGCACAAGGAUCUCUUGCACAAGGACCUCUUUGCACAAGGACCUCUCACACCAGGCCCCCUUUGCUCAAGGAUCUCACACAAUAACCCAUUUACACAAGCAUCUCUCGCACAAGUAUCUCUUGCACAAGGAUCUCUCGCACAAGGACCCCUUUGCACAAGGAUCUCUUGCACAAGCAUCUCUUGCACAAGCAUCUCUUGCACAAUGACCCCUUACACAAGCAUCUCUCGCACAAUGACCCCCUUACACAAUCAUCUCUCGCACAAUGACCCCUUACACAAGUACCUCUCGCACCAGGCCCCCUUUGCACGACUCCCCCCCCCUCACUGCUCCUCGUUCCCCCCCGUGAGCUUGUGGAACAGCUCCGUGUCCAUUUGCCGUCCCGCCGUGCGCCCCCCCAUGCACACGUACCCCCCCAGGUACUCGUGCACCGUCUGGCACGAGGCCGACACGACGCUGAACGCCACGUUCAAAUGCUCCUCGAACUCCAGCGCCACCUGGCGGA
rnacentral:lncRNA from 1 species